GACGUAGGGCGCGAGCGUUGUCCGGAUUUAUUGGGCGUAAAGAGCUCGUAGGCGGCUUGUUGCGUCGACCGUGAAAACCCGGGGCUCAACUUCGGGCUUGCGGUCGAUACGGGCAGACUAGAGUUCGGUAGGGGAGACUGGAAUUCCUGGUGUAGCGGUGAAAUGCGCAGAUAUCAGGAGGAACACCGGUGGCGAAGGCGGGUCUCUGGGCCGAUACUGACGCUGAGGAGCGAAAGCGUGGGGAGCGAACAGG
rnacentral:rRNA from 1 species